rnacentral:rRNA from 1 species
GGUUUUGUGUAAGGUUGCCUAUCGUCAUUUUUUAACGGGGUGUGAAUACAGGAGUCCGCAGGGUCGCUUCGUCUUACUCUUUUGCCACCCCUUUCCCUCUCUAAUCUCGGCCGAGGCUCGUCGGCUCGCCGCGGCGGCACCUCCUCUCCGGCGCGGCGUGUCGGCACUCCUGGUCUCUUCUCAUGUGGUGGCCCGGCCUUGGACGACGGCACUUGGCGGCGCCGCCGUGCCUUCCUCGCGGCGAUGCCUAACCCCUCCUCGCGGCAACGUCCGGAUCCCUCUCGCGGCGGGCCUGGUUCGAGGGACGAGGUGGCUAGUUCCUGAGAGCUAAGGCCGGCGGACGUCGUGUAGUCCGGUAGUCGAUUGUCUUACCGUCGUGACUCGUUUCGAUCGCCAUACGUUUUUUGUCUCUCCGGCAACUAAACGAAUAUAGACCAAGACGAUAAUUCAAUGACUUCGUUCUGUGGAAAAAGGAUAACAAGACCGCUUAAGCAGAGUCAAGUAAGUAGGAGACCAGUAGACUAUAGUGUUGUCUAGAGUUCAGAGGAAAAUACGGUGACACCCCGAGUACACGACGACGACGACGACUAUAAAACAGAACUGCGGGUAGAAACAAAUUACAUGAGGUUAACGACAGUUACACCAAAGAGAAAGUGUGCGUAAUCAAGUGUACUGUCAAACGGUCCACUUUGAAAUAAUAAGACACUGACGUAUGAAUAUUAAAAAUUUUUAAUCUGUGUAGAGACUUCACACAUAUCAAUUUUUUGGUUAGUGGAGAAAUAGACCGUACAAGACGAAGAAGUAAUUGUACCACAGGUGGAGUACUAGGUAGUUAAGGACACGUUGUAUACAUUCUACUCAAUCAAUUCCUUAAGAUCUCUACCAUGAAGUAUAAAAAGUUUUUUCCAAUUACGUGGAAAUGGGGGAGCCGAAAUAGCAAGUUCAUCUCGUAGAGUUCCGGUAGUAGUCCGUUUUUACAAGAAAAAUGACGUAUCAAAACAAACGCUGUCCAGUCUAAUAUAGUAACUUUAACUUAGUUUUAUAUUCAAAAAAGGUGUAUUAAAAAAUCAUUAGAAACCACGAAGAAUACUAAAGGGUAGAUCACUCAAGUCGUUCAAUCUACAUCUACAUAUUUCGUUCAAUAAGAAGAGAGGUACCCGAAGUAAAACAAUCAACAGGUUACUGUACAUAUAAACCUCUAAUAACUAUAUUGUUAAUCUAUAUAGUUAAUAUACCUUCAGCAUUAAUGUUGAUAGUUGUAUGGACUCGUAACACAUAGAAAAAGACAAGAUAGAACAUCACACAGGUACCAUCGUUUGAGCGCCGUUAUUAAGCCUUUUUGAAAGUUUCUAGGAAAAUAGAAAAUGGACACAUAACAUACGUUUUUUAUAAAAUUAAAGUAAAAGAGUGACCGGAUAUAAAACAUUAAGGUUGAGUUGUAACAACUUACGUAUUUAUCUAAAGAAUAACUAGAAACUAGAUUUGUACAGAUAAUCUAAGAAGGUUUAUCAUUGUACCUAACAAAGUGGGACAGUUUUGUUAGUUUAUACCAAUCAUUGACGUAGAAUUGAACUUUUUUGACGUUAAUUUAUAUAUCUUUGUCUGGACGAGUAGGUAGUCAUAGUAUAGAUCCGAUCAAUCGAGUACCCAGCAUCCUAACUGACUUAGGGUGUGAGUAACGCAAGUGAACUUACAAGAUCAAUACAGGGGAGUAUCAAUUCAGCGACUUGAAGAACAUACACUAUCACAAUACAGGAGUUUUAAUUAUCUUUUGUUAUACAUUGAUUAUGUCCUAAAUACUUCUAAGAUCCGUCUUUUUCAUUCGAACGAUUUAUUGUUAGUGGUUUAGACUACUAAGUCCGCUCUUCACGAAACCUCACUCAAGAAGGUUGCAACUGACCUCGUUAACCCGCACCGAAACAGCCCGCAGCCCGCACGAAACCGUACUGAAGCAACCUGCAGCUCACUUCGCCGACCCGUACCUAAAAGUACCAUCGAGACAGCUGAAGUUAUACAAGUGGAGCACCACCAACAGCUGAAGUUUAAUUAACCACACAGUAACACGCUGACCAACAUGAACGAAUAUACCCAACUCCACCGACCCAAACUCCACCGGCUCUACAGACCUUUAGACUAACACUGGAACAGGAUAUAAAGAAAAACCCUUAAAAGUUGUAAUUAACGAAAAAAUUAACGAAUAUCGUACAUCAUGCACGAAAAAAAG